AAUAGCUAACUUUGCACAUUGAGAGUUAAUUUUUUCCCUCGUCAUCAACUUCCCUCCUAUUCUAGAAUGCCUGAGUCUGGCCCAAAGGGCUUCCUAGGAAAGGGCCCACGUGCCGCGGCAGAAGCCACACAGCCAUGCUGCACCCCAGAGAGCGCCAAAGAAGAUCGAUUGACAACUGCAACAUGCAACGUGCCAGAUUUCUCUGGCAGUGCUCCAGCUAGUCAGAGCCAAUUAAUAUGAAACCAAUAGGCCAAAUCAACGUUUUCAGAAGUUAACUCAAAAAAAUCCCAGAAGAUUAACCAGCCUGUGGCCUUUGCUAUGAAAUUGUUACCACACCACUUUCUUUUCUUUUGAAAGUCCAGAUGGGCAGAUAAAUCCAAAGUGGAUCAACCACAUCUGCCAUUCCUCCACACAAAUUACACCCCCUCCCACAACUUCCCUCUUCCCUCUCCAGCAUGCAAAGCACUCAGGGCCUGGGCUGAAUUGACAUUUUAUGCCACACUGUAUGUUUUGAAUUCCUCAUUGUAUUAUGAGGAACUGCAUCAUGACCCCUCUGAGGCAAAGAGCUGGCAGAUUCUGAAAUUUGCCUUCUCCAAAGGUGAGAACUGCAUUUGUGGAGGGACGGCUUUCUUCCAGGCACAAAAUGAGCCAAGAGUAGAACCCAGCCCCGUUGGCUGCCUUCUCCAGUGUUCUGAACCGGUAUUCAAAUCAGCAAAGUCCAGAAGUACGUUCUUAGUUCCUGUCCAAAUGUUAGACGACACCAGCAGAAGAACAGCAAAGCCUAGUCUGGGUCAUUUCCUAUGACUACAAAAUCAUUAGAUACAAAAAGGUUGUUCUGCCUUUCUGGAACUUGCAACUCUGAGGCUUCAGCAAGAGGGCGACGCCUGAGCCCCUGCCCAUUUCUCCAAGCAUGCAGGCAUUAUAUAACUGCAUUGACAAACAGCCACCUGUCUCUGGCAGUGUGACCUGAAACCCAUUCUCUGAGACUUGUCUGCGGGCUCUCAGUAUACACUGUAACCGAGGAAAUGCAUGCUUUACAGAUGUUUAUCUCCUAAUUAAGAAUCUGAUGUGCCACUUACGGUAAUGUACUUGCUCAUGCUAAUAGUUUCUCUUUCCUCAGAGGAUCUGCCAGGGCGGAUUUGAUGCAACAAAAGAGAGUGUCCCUGGUGUGUUUUAAUUAGGCUAUUGGUCUCCAGUCAUGGUGAGUACCAGGUGCCAGGCCUGCUGCAAAGCAGUUCAGAUCAACAACCAUCCACUGAUUUCUAUUCUAAGGUGAAUGAGGUAGACUCUGCUUUUGAGGAGCUUUCAGCCUCCAGGGAGGGGGCUUGACAGACACAGAUGACUAAUUAGCAUGCAAGGUGUUCAGUGCUCUAAACCAGUCCUGUGGGCUGAGGACUUGGAAUUCCACUGGAGGCUUGGAGUUUAGU
rnacentral:lncRNA from 1 species